UCACCUGGUGGUGCUGGAAAAGAAGUCCGAACGGAGGAGCAGAGCUCGAUCCCAAUUAACAAUGUCGUCCGCAGCAAGAAGCACUGGUUCUCUCCCGGUGGCUAACGUCCAGGCGCUCGCGGAGGCUUGCAAUGACGACGGGGGCGACGUCCAGGUGCCCGAGAGAUAUCUCAGCAAGGAUCCCAGCAGCGCGGAGGAGGUCGUCGUCGUAGCCGGCGACGACAGCGCCUGCAGGGCGAUUCCUGUCAUCGAUCUCCGUAGCCCGUAGGUUGCUCGAUCCGGAGUCAUCGGAGGAGGAGACCGCCAAGCUGGCGUCUGCCUGCCUCGACUGGGGCUUCUUCCAGCUAAUCAACCAUGGAAUUCCGGACGAGGUGACCGGAAACCUGAUGAACGACGUGGCUGGGUUCUUCGGGCAGCCGCUGGACGCCAAGAAGGAAUGCGCGCAGCAGGCCGACAGCCUCGAAGGAUACGGGCAGGCCUUCGUGGUGUCAGAGGACCAGAAGCUGGACUGGGCCGACAUGCUCUUCCUCAUCGUGCAGCCGAGGGAGGCCAGGGACACGCGCUUCUGGCCGACGCGCCCCGCGUCCUUCGGGGACUCCGUGGACUCCUACUCCCUGGAAGCUUCGAGGCUAGCGUACCGCCUGCUGGAGCUCAUGGCCAGGGGCGUCGGGGCCGCCGACCCGGCGUCGCUAAGACGCGUGUUCGAGGGGCAGACGCAGGGCAUGCGGGUGAACUACUACCCGCCGUGCCGGCGGGCGGCGGACCGGGUGCUGGGCCUGUCGCCACACACCGACGCGUCCGGCCUGACGCUGCUGCUGCAGGCCAGCAACGGCGUGCAGGGCCUGCAGGUCAGGAAGGACGGCAGGUGGUUCGCCGUGGACGCCAUCGACGGCGCCCUCGUCGUCAACGUCGGCGACUUUCUUGAGAUCCUGAGUAAUGGAAAAUUCACCAGCGUUGAGCACAGGGCCGUGGUACACCCAACCAGAGAGAGAAUGUCGGCGGCGCUGUUCCUGUACCCUCGCCAGAACAUGAGGGUUGGCCCAUUGCCGGAGUUCGUGAAUGGCGGUAAUGAGCGGUAUGGAUCAACGGAUUAUGAGGAAUUUAUGAAGCAUUACUUUGCAACGAAGCUUGACGGAAGGAAGCACCUAGACAGAUUGAAGUUGGAGCAGUAGGCAGUAGCUAUCUCUACCGUAUCUAUCUCGCUGGAGGGACCAAUAAAUAAUUUUUCUAUGCGAUAAAUACUUCGUCCUCAAGCACCUAGAGAGCAGAUAUAAAUAAUGUUCUCCAGCUUUGAUUCGCAAAAAAUGCGCAUGAUUCAAAAUGUGUUAUGAUAGGAUAGGAUCGACUCGGUCCAUGACCGAGACGGUCAAGAUCAACCCUAACAUUCUCUCCAUUUAAUCUCAUACUCAUUUUC